AUAAUACUCCCUCCGUCCCAAAAUUCUUGUCUUAGAUUUGUCUAGAUACAGAUGUAUCUAACACUAAAACGUAACUAGAUACAUCCGUAUUUGGACAAAUCUAAGACAAUAAUUUUGGGACGGAGGGAGUAGUUC
rnacentral:pre_miRNA from 1 species